rnacentral:tRNA from 1 species
UUGGGGGUUUAGUGGUAGGAUUCUAGCCUUCCAUGCAAGAGACUCAGGUUCAAAUCCUGGCCAA